rnacentral:rRNA from 1 species
UACGAAGGGGGCUAGCGUUGCUCGGAAUUACUGGGCGUAAAGCGCACGUAGGCGGCUUUCUAAGUCGGGGGUGAAAUCCUGGAGCUCAACUCCAGAACUGCCUUCGAUACUGGCGAUCUCGAGUCCGGAAGAGGUUAGUGGAAUUCCCAGUGUAGAGGUGAAAAUUCGUAGAUAUUCGCAAGAACACCAGUGGCGAAGGCGGCUCACUGGCCCGAUACUGACGCUGAGGUGCGGAAG